rnacentral:lncRNA from 1 species
AGUCAGAAAAGCUGCGCCUCCAUCUUUGAAUAGGGCAAGGCUGUGGUUUCUCACCCAACAAACUUUAGAAUGUAGAAUUCCUCAGGAUACAUACUUUCUUGAAUAUAUCCUGAAAUUUUUCUCCUUCACAGAACCUCGGCGCCUGCGGAACCGUCAUCCAAAUGCAUCCAGCACUCCUCAGGGGACCGCCCUGACACAACAUGACGUCUGUUUGCCUCAGGGGGAAGUCCCUCUCAUCGCCUAGCUACCGGGAAGCGAGAAGAGGGACGCGUAGCCCGGAGUUGUCCGGAGAGGCCCUCAGCCUGCGGGAAGGGGCUAGGAGGGGACAGAGAGUCUCGGCCGCUAGUUGGUGAUCUUUUUGAGCUCAGCAAGUGCGGGUGCGGGUCCUCUCUUCGCGGUACAAAACUUUCCCUUCUCGUUGCUGCUGUGGUUUCUGUGCUCAAUAAAAACUGUUUCUGGU